UAAAAGGUCCUCUAAUUCUCUUUGAAUUCGGAGAUUCGGCCACCGAUCUGGGCCAAAUCUCCACCAAAUCAAAUCAGGGACUGAAGCUUUGCACAGUCCUACUACAUGUAUUUGCAAAUAUUUUACAUCUUAUUAUAAGCUAUAAGUACAUGCUACUUUGGGAAUACAGGUUAUAUUAAUAGAGAUAUGGAUUUCUUACUAUAUAAAAAGGCUAUUUAAUGAUGCAACUAGUUAUUCACAUAGGAAGCUGUUUGGCUAUAAAAUAUUUCUAUUUUGGAAAUUAGUUAUCUGUCAGUGCUUAAACAAUGUCUUUACCAAAUUCAGUAAGAAAAGAGUCACAUUUCCAAAGCUUGGAAUUUGAUGGAUGACUAUUUAAUCCAAAGACUAUUUAAGAACUAAUUAAACCUAAAAGUAUUAUUUUCAGAUGUAAAUGUUUUUGGACUCAUUUAAAACAUAAUAUCUAAUUCUGUCAAUUAAAUACUGCCCACAGUAAAACUGAAAGGAAUAUCUGAUAAAAUAAAAAUUAAACUGAAAAGAAGAGUUAAAGCUAAACUAGCAAGAUGUUCUGAACUUCCUGCCAAAAACAAAGGAAGUAUAAUUAAUUUGUUUAAGCUUAUAUAAAUAUAUCCCACUCUAUCCAGAAGUACCAAAGUAACUACUUAAGGGAAAGCUACAAUCAUAUUGCAUAUAUAUUAGAAGAUUUCAUUUUUAGGACCUAAAUUUCUUAUUAAGGUCUAUGAAUGAAAAAGUUUAAUCAAUUACAGCAUACCAACAACUAAAAUUUUAAAAUAAAUUAUGGCUACCACCAAGGUCAUAAUAUAAAAUAAUGUAGCAGGCUCACCUUUCAGAGCUUGGGUUGAGUUCCACGCUUGAGAUCCUGCUGUUUUGAUUGGUGGAGCCCAUCCACCAUUCAGGAGGCAGCAGGAAAAAUAAAGUCACGCCCCUUUCCUGAGGGGAGGGGGAGAAGAGCUCCCCCAGACCUGAUUGAAGACUGUAAACUGUCAGGUCCAGAAGACUUCAGGGGCAGAGCCCUAGAGCGUAUAAAAGGAUCUAUGUGCCCAGCACGAGGGGCAGAUGCAGUGAGGGAUUCAAGAAGAGUGAAGCCAAGAAAAGCUGGGGAGCUGUCCCCAAGUAGGCAAUAGGCCCAAGGCUCCUGAAGCUGCCGCUGGAGGAGCAGCCUUGGGAGUUGUGUGAGACUGCUUGGGCUCUUGAUGGUGCAUAGGGAUGGUGCAUGGAGACCCGGCCCUGGAAGUGGUGUGAGACUGCUCAGGCCCAUCAUGGUGCACAGUUCGGUAUGUAGAGCCCAGGCUUUGGGAGUCACAAGCAGUGGCUUGAGCCUGCAACCCUGUCAGGGCCUUGGGAGCUGCAGUGAGGCAACUGAGGCCCCAUCUCCCAGCAAGCAGCCAGGUCCCACAGUGUGCAGGGCGGCAUAUGGGCCUGAGCCUUGGGAGCCAGGGAGCAGAAGUUGUGCUGUGGUGUGAGGCCCAGCACCCAGAAGCUAGCAGCGGUGGUACAGCAGCUGAAAGGAGUUGAACCCUCAAUGCCCAGAGUGGGUCACAGGGUGGGGAGGAGCCCAGCAGCACAAGAGAGGCCUGGAGACGUGCUCCAGCAGAGGAGACCCCAUCAAGCUGCACCCUGACCGCUGCCACCUGAGGGACCGUGAGUCAUUGGGCUCUUGGGUCCCACAGGGGAAAGACAUUUGGGGCAGGCUAACCCAGAGAAGGUGCUGGGUGAGCAUCCCUCCUGCCUAGUCAAGGCCCUAAGGGGAGGGGCCCCUGGUUCUUCCUGGAUACCCCACAAGAAGCCCCAUUGGAAGGAGGACUAUCUCUUGCCAUGGGUCAGGGACUAUAUUAAGGGAUAGAUGUUAUUAAGAUUGUUCAUGUUUGCACCUUAUAUUUUGUAAUUGAAAUGUUGUAUUGUGAUGUUGUAAAUAGUGUUAUUUAGGGUUUGACCUUGGUUACUGGUUAGUGUUCACUGUGUAAAUAUAUGUAUAUGAUAUUUAGUUUUGUGUUUAUGUAUAUUAUAACCUAAUAAAUUGUAUAUAGUUAAGAACUUUGGGCUUGGGCUAACUCUAUAGAUGAAAGAGGGAUCUGCUUGAAAUUCUGGCAUCCCUCACAGCACCCCCUCCUGUCAUCCCAUUCAAUUAAGAAUAGGGAACACCCUUGGGUGUACCUGGGUUAUAAUAAAAUCCUUCUGAACUGAGCAAGCAACUACUUUCUGUUCACAGCUCUUAACUUCAGCACUCAACACUUAGCAGAACACUCUAUGCAGCAUGUUCAUCCUCCCAGCUCAGCCUGUUUAUAUCUCUUCAAAUGAACAACCAAUCAAUCAACAUCUUCAGCAGCAAUCAGACAGCUAAAUACAAAGAACUCCCAGAAUGACACCAAGCAGGUCCUUGAGUAUAUUUUUCUAAGUAAUUCUACCAAGUACACCCCUGAAACAUGGAAGAUGCCAAAUUUCAGCUGAUUCUGGAUCUUAAACUUCAUUGCAGAACAACAAGAUUUUUUUUUACCUCCCUGACUCCCAUCUGACACCUUCAGGGAAGGAAUUCUACCUGAUCAACAUGUCAAAGAGCUACUCAACACAGCUCACAAAGACACUCUCAUGGACCCAGAGGGACAUACUUCCAUCUUCAGCUCCCUCUGUGCAAACAUUAAGUUUAUUUCCUACCUAUGGGGACUUUUUACCAUCUUGUACCAGAGCCUGAUGAAGGGACUUUGAUUCUGAAAGCUUGCAGAAAAGGACAAUUUUCUUGCCAUUUUCCAGUUGGUCUAAUAAAAGGUAUCAUUUUGGAACCAAGAGUUCUAGUUUUUUGUAUGUCUUCUUCUAAGUAAUUGAGCUAAAUAUUUUUUGGUUUCACAUGA